rnacentral:rRNA from 1 species
ACCGGAUAUGACACGGAGAUGCAUGUCUACCGUGUGGAAAGUUUUUCGGUCUGGGAUGGGCUCGCGGCCUAUCAGCUUGUUGGUGAGGUAAUGGCUCACCAAGGCGACGACGGGUAGCCGGCCUGAGAGGGCGACCGGCCACACUGGGACUGAGACACGGCCCAGACUCCUACGGGAGGCAGCAGUGGGGAAUAUUGCACAAUGGGCGAAAGCCUGAUGCAGCGACGCCGCGUGAGGGAUGACGGCCUUUGGGUUGUAAACCUCUUUCAGCAGGGAAGAAGCGCAAGUGACGGUACCUGCAGAAGAAGCACCGGCUAACUACGUGCCAGCAGCCGCGGUAAUACGUAGGGUGCGAGCGUUGUCCGGAAUUAUUGGGCGUAAAGAGCUUGUAGGCGGUCUGUCGCGUCUGCUGUGAAAAUCCGGGGCUCAACCCCGGACUUGCAGUGGGUACGGGCAGACUAGAGUGUGGUAGGGGAGACUGGAAUUCCUGGUGUAGCGGUGAAAUGCGCAGAUAUCAGGAGGAACACCGAUGGCGAAGGCAGGUCUCUGGGCCAUAACUGACGCUGAGAAGCGAAAGCAUGGGGAGCGAACAGGAUUAGAUACCCUGGUAGUCCAUGCCGUAAACGUUGGGAACUAGGUG